GAUGAACGCUGGCGGCGUGCUUAACACAUGCAAGUCGAACGGUGAACGAGGGAGCUUGCUCCCUCCGGAUCAGUGGCGAACGGGUGAGUAACACGUGGGCAACCUGCCCUGUAGAUUGGGAUAACUCCGGGAAACCGGGGCUAAUACCGAAUAAUCCUUCGGACCUCAUGGUCCGCUGUUGAAUGACGGUUUCGGCUGGCACUACAGGAUGGGCCCGCGGCGCAUUAGCUAGUUGGUGAGGUAACGGCUCACCAAGGCCACGAUGCGUAGCCGACCUGAGAGGGUGAUCGGCCACAAUGGGACUGAGACACGGCCCAGACUCCUACGGGAGGCAGCAGUAGGGAAUCUUCCACAAUGGACGAAAGUCUGAUGGAGCAACGCCGCGUGAGUGAAGAAGGUUCUCGGAUCGUAAAACUCUGUUGUGAGGGAAGGACAAGUACCGGAGUAACUGCCGGUGCCUUGACGGUACCUCAUUAGAAAGCCACGGCUAACUACGUGCCAGCCGCCGCCGUAAUAC
rnacentral:rRNA from 1 species